rnacentral:rRNA from 1 species
UACGGAGGGUGCGAGCGUUGUCCGGAAUCAUUGGGCGUAAAGGGCGCGUAGGUGGCCCGGUCAGUCUUUGGUGAAAGCGCGGGGCUCAACCCUGCGUCGGCCAGGGAUACUGCCGCGGCUCGAGCACUGUAGAGGCAGGUGGAAUUCCCGGUGUAGCGGUGGAAUGCGUAGAGAUCGGGAAGAACAUCAGUGGCGAAGGCGGCCUGCUGGGCUGUUGCUGACGCUGAGGCGCGACAGCGUGGGGAGCAAACAGG